GUGGUAAAAAGACAAGACAAGUAUACGAAAGAAAAAUAAGCACCAGAGGAAGAAGUAUACAGCAGAAUAUAUGUCAAGUAACGGAAUGGUAUAAAGAGUAAAUGGUUAAAAUGAUUGAAUGCUUUUCUUGAAAAUAUUCCCUGACCAAAAAGAAGCAACCGUGCACAGAAAAACGCCCAUUCUUCAAUAAACAAUCAUCAC
rnacentral:misc_RNA from 1 species